GAGAUAGCCAUGCGAGUUAACGUAGCAAUACGUGGCGCACGGCUCAGUAACACGUAGUCAACAUGCCCAGAGGACGUGGAUAACCUCGGGAAACUGAGUCUAGACCGCGAUAAGUGAGGAUUUCUGGAAUGGUUCCUGACUAAAAUCUAUAUGGCCUCUGGAUUGGACUGCGGCCGAUCAGGCUGUUGGUGAGGUAAUGGCCCACCAAACCUGUAACCGGUACGGGCUCUGAGAGGAGGAGCCCGGAGAUGGGCACUGAGACAAGGGCCCAGGCCCUAUGGGGCGCAGCAGGCGCGAAACCUCUGCAAUAGGCGAAAGCCUGACAGGGUUACUCUGAGUGACUUUCGCUAAGAAAGUCUUUUGGCACCUCUAAAAAGGGUGCAGAAUAAGGGGUGGGCAAGUCUGGUGUCAGCCGCCGCGGUAAUACCAGCACCCCGAGUGGUCGGGACGAUUAUUGGGCCUAAAGCAUCCGUAGCCGGUUCUGCAAGUCCCCCGUUAAAUCCAGCUGCUCAACAGAUGGGCCGCGGAGGAUACUACAGAGCUAGGAGGCAGGAGAGGCAAGCGGUACUCAGUGGGUAGGGGUAAAAUCCGUUGAUCCAUUGAAGACCACCAGUGGCGAAGGCGGCUUGCCAGAAUGCGCUCGACGGUGAGGGAUGAAAGCUGGGGGAGCAAACCGGAUUAGAUACCCGGGUAGUCCCAGCCGUAAACGAUGCAGACUCGGUGAUGGGUUGGCUUCGCGCUAACCCAGUGCCGCAGGGAAGCCGUUAAGUCUGCCGCCUGGGUAGUACGGUCGCAAGACUGAAACUUAAAGGAAUUGGCGGGGGAGCACCACAAGGGGUGAAGCCUGCGGUUC
rnacentral:rRNA from 1 species